UCUUUAACCUGUGGUCGGUAUGUGGCGUCAAUGGCUAUAUUUUCUUCUUGGACGGCCAUGCCCUCAGAUGUCUGUGCCAGAAGUUAUUCGAGGUACCAAGUUCCUUACCCUGUUUGAGAAAAUGUAAAAUUUUCCUCAUUUUUCAGCAAUUUAGCAAAAUUUAUAAAUGUGAUAUAUUUUCAUUCAAAUUUGUUGCAAUGUGUUUCUUUUCACUCAAAUAAUGCUUUAAAUGAAAAAAAUAAUAAAAAAUCAGAAAAAAAUUUUAAAAAAAUUUUCAACUCGAAAAUUUCAUAAGGAGUACCCCUUGCCAUUUUUUUGGGAAAUUUUGCAAAAAAAAUUAAAUUGAUUUAUUUUAUUGCCAAUUGGUUGCAAUGUGUUUCUUUUCACUCAAGUAAUGAUUUAAAUAAAAAAAAGAGUGAAAAAUAAUAAAAAAAUCGAAAAAUUCAAAAAAAUGAAAAUUGACUAAGGCUCAUUUUUGCGCCAAGUUUUGCCUAUAACUCGGUCGGUAUCCAACGGAUCGCCAAUCUUUAACCUGUGGUCGAUAGAUGGCACCAAUGGCUACAUUUUCUUCUUGGACGUCCAUGCCCUCAGAUGUCUGUGCCGGAAGUUAUUCGAGGAACCAAGUUCCUUACCCGGUUUGAGAAAAUGUAAAAUUUUCCUCAUUUUUGCGCCAAGUUUUGCCUAUAACUCGGUCGGUAUCCAACGGAUCGCCAAUCUUUAACCUGUGGUCGAUAGAUGGCAUCAAUGGCUAUAUUUUCUUCUUGGACGGCCAUGCCCUCAGAUGUCUGUGCCAGAAGUUAUUCGAGGUACCAAGUUCCUUACCCUGUUUAAGAAAAUGUAAAAUUUUCCUCAUUUUUCAGCAAUUUAGCAAAAUUUAUAAAUGUGAUAUAUUUUCAUUCAAAUUUGUUGCAAUGUGUUUCUUUUCACUCAAAUAAUGCUUUAAAUGAAAAAAAUAAUAAAAAAUCAGAAAAAAAUUUUAAAAAAAUUUUCAACUCGAAAAUUUCAUAAGGGGUACCCCUUGCCAUUUUUUUGGGAAAUUUUGCAAAAAAAAUUAAAUUGAUUUAUUUUAGUGCCAAUUGGUUGCAAUGUGUUUCUUUUCACUCAAGUAAUGAUUUAAAUAAAAAAAAGAGUGAAAAAUAAUACAAAAAUCGAAAAAUUCAAAAAAAUGAAAAUUGACUAAGGCUCAUUUUUGCGCCAAGUUUUGCCUAUAACUCGGUCGGUAUCCAACGGAUCGCCAAUCUUUAACCUGUGGUCGAUAGGUGCCAUCAAUGGCUACAUUUUCUUCUUGGACGGCCAUGCCCUCAGAUGUCUGUGCCGGAAGUUAUUCGAGGAACCAAGUUCCUUACCCUGUUUGAGAAAAUGUAAAAUUUUCCUCAUUUUUGCGCCAAGUUUUGCCUAUAACUCGGUCGGUAUCCAACGGAUCGCCAAUCUUUAACCUGUGGUCGAUAGAUGGCACCAAUGGCUACAUUUUCUUCUUGGACGGCCAUGCCCUCAGAUGUCUGUGCCGGAAGUUAUUCGAGGAACCAAGUUCCUUACCCUGUUUGAGAAAAUGUCAAAUUUUCCUCAUUUUUGCGCCAAGUUUUGCCUAUAACUCGGUCGGUAUCCAACGGAUCGCCAAUCUUUAACCUGUGGUCGAUAGGUGGCAUCAAUGGCUAUAUUUUCUUCUUGGACGGCCAUGCCCUCAGAUGUCUGUGCCAGAAGUUAUUCGAGGUACCAAGUUCCUUACCCUGUUUGAAAAAAUGUCAAAUUUUCCUCAUUUUUGCACCAAGUUUUGCCUAUAACUCGGUCGGUAUCCAACGGAUCGCCAAUCUUUAACCUGUGGUCGAUAGAUGGCACCAAUGGCUACAUUUUCUUCUUGGACGGCCAUGCCCUCAGAUGUCUGUGCCGGAAGUUAUUCGAGGAACCAAGUUCCUUACCCUGUUUGAGAAAAUGUAAAAUUUUCCUCAUUUUUGCGCCAAGUUUUGCCUAUAACUCGGUCGGUAUCCAACGGAUCGCCAAUCUUUAACCUGUGGUCGAUAGGUGGCAUCAAUGGCUACAUUUUCUUCUUGGACGGCCAUGCCCUCAGAUGUAUGUGCCAGAAGUUAUUCGACGAACCAAGUUCCUUACCCUGUUUGAGAAAAUGUAAAAUUUUCCUCAUUUUUGCGCCAAGUUUUGCUUAUAACUCGAUCGGUAUCCAACGGAUCGCCAAUCUUUAACCUGUGGUCGAUAGAUGGCACCAAUGGCUACAUUUUCUUCUUGGACGUCCAUGCCCUUAGAUGUAUGUGCCGGAAGUUAUUCGAGGAACCAAGUUCCUUACCCUGUUUGAGAAAAUGUCAAAUUUUCCUCAUUUUUGCGCCAAGUUUUGCCUAUAACUCGGUCGGUAUCCAACGGAUCGCCAAUCUUUAACCUGUGGUCGAUAGGUGGCAUCAAUGGCUACAUUUUCUUCUUGGACGGCCAUGCCCUCAGAUGUCUGUGCCGGAAGUUAUUCGAGGAACCAAGUUCCUUACCCUGUUUGAGAAAAUGUAAAAUUUUCCUCAUUUUUGCGCCAAGUUUUGCCUAUAACUCGGUCGGUAUCCAACGGAUCGCCAAUCUUUAACCUGUGGUCGAUAGGUGGCAUCAAUGGCUAUAUUUUCUUCUUGGACGGCCAUGCCCUCAGAUGUCUGUGCCAGAAGUUAUUCGAGGUACCAAGUUCCUUACCCUGUUUGAGAAAAUUUAAAAUUUUCCUCAUUUUUCAGCAAUUUAGCAAAAUUUAUAAAUGUGAUAUAUUUUCAUUCAAAUUUGUUGCAAUGUGUUUCUUUUCACUCAAAUAAUGCUUUAAAUGAAAAAAAUAAUAAAAAAUCAGAAAAAAAUUUUAAAAAAAAUUUUCAACUCGAAAAUUUCAUAAGGGGUACCCCUUGCCAUUUUUUUGGGGAAAUUUUGCAAAAUAAAUUAAAUUGAUUUAUUUUAGUGCCAAUUGGUUGCAAUGUGUUUCUUUUCACUCAAGUAAUGAUUUAAAUAAAAAAAGAGUGAAAAAUAACAAAAAAAUCGAAAAAUUCAAAAAAAUGAAAAUUGACUAAGGCUCAUUUUUGCGCCAAGUUUUGCCUAUAACUCGGUCGGUAUCCAACGGAUCGCCAAUCUUUAACCUGUGGUCGAUAGAUGGCACCAAUGGCUACAUUUUCUUCUUGGACGGCCAUGCCCUCAGAUGUCUGUGCCGGAAGUUAUUCGAGGAACCAAGUUCCUUACCCUGUUUGAGAAAAUGUAAAAUUUUCCUCAUUUUUGCGCCAAGUUUUGCCUAUAACUCGGUCGGUAUCCAACGGAUCGCCAAUCUUUAACCUGUGGUCGAUAGGUGGCAUCAAUGGCUAUAUUUUCUUCUUGGACGGCCAUGCCCUCAGAUGUCUGUGCCAGAAGUUAUUCGAGGUACCAAGUUCCUUACCCUGUUUGAGAAAAUGUAAAAUUUUCCUCAUUUUUCAGCAAUUUAGCAAAAUUUAUAAAUGUGAUAUAUUUUCAUUCAAAUUUGUUGCAAUGUGUUUCUUUUCACUCAAAUAAUGCUUUAAAUGAAAAAAAUAAUAAAAAAUCAGAAAAAAAUUUUAAAAAAAUUUUCAACUCGAAAAUUUCAUAAGGGGUACCCCUUGCCAUUUUUUUGGGGAAAUUUUGCAAAAAAAAUUAAAUUGAUUUAUUUUAGUGCCAAUUGGUUGCAAUGUGUUUCUUUUCACUCAAGUAAUGAUUUAAAUAAAAAAAAGAGUGAAAAAUAACAAAAAAAUCGAAAAAUUCAAAAAAAUGAAAAUUGACUAAGGCUCAUUUUUGCGCCAAGUUUUGCCUAUAACUCGGUCGGUAUCCAACGGAUCGCCAAUCUUUAACCUGUGGUCGAUAGGUGGCAUCAAUGGCUAUAUUUUCUUCUUGGACGGCCAUGCCCUCAGAUGUCUGUGCCAGAAGUUAUUCGAGGUACCAAGUUCCUUACCCUGUUUGAGAAAAUGUAAAAUUUUCCUCAUUUUUCAGCAAUUUAGCAAAAUUUAUAAAUGUGAUAUAUUUUCAUUCAAAUUUGUUGCAAUGUGUUUCUUUUCACUCAAAUAAUGCUUUAAAUGAAAAAAAUAAUAAAAAAUCAGAAAAAAAUUUUAAAAAAAUUUUCAACUCGAAAAUUUCAUAAGGGGUACCCCUUGCGUUUU